rnacentral:snRNA from 1 species
AUCGCUUCUCGGCCUUUUGGCUAAGAUCAAGUGUUGUUCUUAUCAGUUUAAUAUAGCACAAGAUAUAAAGAGCUUUUUAGAAUUAAAAAAAUUAUCAGCAUUAUUUUUU